UACGAAGGUCCCAAGCGUUAUCCGGAUUUAUUGGGUUUAAAGGGUGCGUAGGCGGGUUAUUAAGUCAGUGGUGAAAGCUCCAUGCCUAACAUGGAAAUUGCCAUUGAUACUGAUGAUCUUGAGUACAUUUGAAGUGGGCGGAAUGUGUCAUGUAGUGGUGAAAUACUUAGAUAUGACACAGAACACCGAUUGCGUAGGCAGCUCACUAAACUGUAACUGACGCUGAGGCACGGAAGCGUGGGGAGCAAACAGG
rnacentral:rRNA from 1 species